ACCAAAGCUUCCCCAGAAGGUUGCAUCGUCUCAGGAUCGCCAUUUUAUGUGUUUGGCUCUGAGACUGGGACGGUGGGUGCGUGCGGUGCAAACUACAGAGCGUAUUCCGUGUAUUAUCUGCAAGAUGUUACCUAAAUACUUUGCUCCCGACAUGUACAAGUAACGACAGGUGUCGGAGUGUGUGAUCGGGCAGCGAAGGCUCGGGCCGAAAUGGUCCCGGAAUAGUGAGCUGUGCGUGAGUGUGUUUUCAUCGAGUAAGUGCGUCGCACACUGGCUUUUCACUGCUGUCACCGUUUGUUAAAUACCUGUGCCAUUCGAAAAGUCGGCUUUGGGUCAAAUUACGGACGGCCUCUGGAUUCCUUGCGACACCCUCGCCAGCAUCUACGAUGAGUUCGCGCAACAUACCCUCAGACAAGAUAAAUCUACGCCUCAUUCUUGUCAGUGGUAAGACAAAAGAGUUCCUAUUCAGUCCGAGCGACUCUGCGGGGGACAUAGCGCACCAUGUAUUUGAAAACUGGCCGGAAGACUGGGCGGAAGAGGCAGUCGCUAAAGCGGAGAUCCUGCGGUUAAUCUACCAGGGCCGUUUUCUGCACAGCAAUGUCACGCUCGGUGCUCUUGGGCUUCCUUUCGGGAAAACCACGGUGAUGCAUCUGGUCCCACGAGAGAAUCUUCCCGAGCCUAAUUCUCAAGAUCAGAGGCAAAAAAGUAAAGGCGGCAGGAGUAGUUGCUGCUUAGCUUCCUGUUGCAUACUUUAAAGAAAACAUUGGCUGCCCUGGAUAUAUUUUGAGGUCGUUCCGUGUGAGAGUCAGCUCCCACGUUCUUCGAGCUGAGCCAUGGUUUCUAAGGUUUCGAUGCUGGUGUAUCAUUGUUAGUGGCUGAGCCUCGUGAGCAGUGUAGCAAAGCGAAGUUGUCGCACCCUUGUCGCCAAUUCACCUAAAUUAAAGGGAAACAAAAAGAAAAGGAUUUACAUUGGUUUGCCUGCAGCGCAUGUUGAAACGACGAAAAUGUGGUUUACCAUUCCAGGAGAUCGUCGAGGAAAGUUUUUAGGGAUAUCGAUAACCUAUUCCGAACGUGGACAGUGGGAUGCCCCAUAACGAGACACCGUUCAGCUCACCACGGUCCAGAAAUCGACAGGAAAUUACGCGACUCGGAGGACAUCGACAGGUCUCCUAGUUGCUUCGUUCUGCAUUUGCAGUCUCCUGUUAAUUAUACCAUGUAAAAAAAGGGAAGAUAUUUCUAGUAAGAUAAAUUCUUCGUCGAAAAAGGUUAGGCUAGCAGAGCCUUUCGAGUAAACAAGGAGCGAAGGGCCGCUCUCUUGAACGGCGCUACACGAUGCUUAGGAACUCAACCACUAUCCUACUAUACAGCAGCGUUAAAUAGUAAUUAUUAUUGUAGACGGGAUCCGUGUGUGUGUGUGUGUUGCGUAUGAAUGAGAGUGUUCCGUUUGAAAGGCGACGGAGAGUGAGGUAGAGAAGAAGAGAGAGAGAGAGAGAGAAAGAGAGAGAGUGAGAGAAAAAGAGAGA
rnacentral:misc_RNA from 1 species